UACGUAGGGUGCGAGCGUUAAUCGGAAUUACUGGGCGUAAAGGGUGCGCAGGCGGUUAUAUAAGACAGAUGUGAAAUCCCCGGGCUCAACCUGGGAACUGCGUUUGUGACUGUAUGACUAGAGUACGGUAGAGAGGGGUGGAAUUCCUGGUGUAGCAGUGAAAUGCGUAGAUAUCAGGAGGAACACCUGUGGCGAAAGCGGCUCACUGGACCAUAACUGACGCUGAUGCACGAAAGCUAGGGGAGCAAACAGG
rnacentral:rRNA from 1 species